GUUAAGUUAGUUUAAAUAAAAUUUUAGUCUGUGGAACUAAAGAUGAAAGAUCCUUUCACUUAACC
rnacentral:tRNA from 1 species